rnacentral:misc_RNA from 1 species
CUCACAAUUAAUGAAGAAAUAUACAUUAAAUCACACAAAUCGCACACAAUAUUUUCCAUAAGAAACACACAACAUGCCAAUACCAACUUGUUUCAUCAGUUGGCAUUUUUCCCCACCACUGCACAUCGUAAGUCGUAACAUCGAUGCCCUUCACCUCCAAGCUUCGAACAGCUCUGUUCUAGGAUUUAUACAACCUGCCAUACCAACUCCCUUUCUCUUCUCUACAGAUCCCGCUGCCCAAACCAUUGCCUGCUCAAUCACCCUUUUGGAUUCCUUUCUGAGAUUUGAAUCACUUGAUUGGCCAGUUCUGUUCUUAGAAGUUCUUAUUUGGACUUUUCCACUCUUACUUGCAAGGCUACCCUCUAGGUUUUCAUUUAUUAAUGCAUUUACUUGGGAUACAAGUUCACAAGGACAAGUAUCAACCAAAGACCGAUUUACUCCAGGAAUGUUCUCAAUAGAAGUCAGGAAAAUUUGACGUCCACUUUCAGUUGUAGAAUCAUCUUCCCUGUGUUGAGUGGGGCUCCCAAU